rnacentral:rRNA from 1 species
UACGUAGGAGACGAGCGUUGUCCGGAAUUACUGGGCGUAAAGCGCGUGUAGGCGGAUGGGCAAGUUUGCUGUGAAAGCUCCUGGCUUAACCGGGAGUGGUCGGUGGAAACUGCCAAUCUGGAGGACGGUAGAGGUAGGUAGAAUUCCCGGGUGUAGUGGUGAAAUGCGUAGAGAUCGGGAGGAAUACCUGUGGCGAAGGCGGCCUGACUGG